rnacentral:rRNA from 1 species
UACGAAGGGGGCUAGCGUUGCUCGGAAUUACUGGGCGUAAAGCGUGCGCAGGCGGUUUUGUAAGCCAGAUGUGAAAUCCCCGGGCUUAACCUGGGAAUGGCAUUUGGGACUGCAAGGCUGGAGUGUGGCAGAGGGGACUGGAAUUCCUGGUGUAGCAGUGAAAUGCGUAGAUAUUCGCAAGAACACCAGUGGCGAAGGCGGCUCACUGGCCCGGUACUGACGCUGAGGCACGAAAGCGUGGGGAGCAAACAGG